AGGAAAGUAACCAAGACAGUUCAGGGUUGGCUGGCUCUGUUUGAGGGGCAGCGCAUCACGGCGGGGAACGUGGAGGAACAAAGCUGUUCCCCUCCCUGCGACCGGGAAACAACUGGGGGCAGCGUCCCAGUAUUCCCUUCCGGGUCACACCUGACUUCCGGGGUUUAACUUCCUGCCAUUUGGCCCCACUUUCUGAAGGUUCCGCGACCCACCCAGCUUGGCGACCAAACCUUCAACGUAGGAGCCUUUGAGCCUUUGAGGGAGAGAGGAUUCAAGUCCUGCCAGUCAGCAAACAGGAAUAAAGGGGAAGCAGGAAAGACGAGAGGUGCUGGCGCAGGUCGGCGUUCACAGCAGCUGAGGCCUGUUUGGCCAAGCUCCAUAAUAACCCAGAGAAGACACCCAAAUAAUCUGGAGAGCUGUGUUUUUCUCUGUCAGUUUAGGACUGACCGCUUGGCCAAGGAAACAGGUGGAGGAAGCAGGCCAGGGAAGGCUCUGCCAGCCCGACGAAGCAGAUAGGGCCGAGUCUGAAACCCAGGCCGAGCUGAAGUUGCAGUUAGUGUGGAAAUGAAGAUCUUUCAGAAGAGAGGACGUUCCCAGAGCUUGUUCUCUGUUGUCUCGCCGUCUCUUGGCUCCACCCAGACAGCCCCUUGGCUCGCAGACUGUGGCUCCCCAGCGGGACGGCGGGCAGCCUCCCUAACCUUCUCCUGUAAGGCAGAGAGAAGAGGACGACAUGCUCCCCUCGGAACCCACACGCCGCAGCAGAGUUUGCUGCAGACCCCCAAAGCCAAAUCGCGGGGAGUCCUCGAUGGCAUUUCCGGGAGCUGCCACCACCUACCUAAAAAGCUGGUCUCUCUGCAAAGGCUGGAGAGCCGGAGCUAAAGUCAGAGGACUCAAGCUUGUCUACCUGUUGGGGUCAUAAAGAAGAGCCUGGCACACAGCAUGAACAUAAUAAACACUUGCUGCACACGGACAAAUGGAUGAAGCCCUGCCAUUCGCCUCACGUCGUGGGAGGGGGCCAGCAUCUUCUGGUAGGACAGGAAGGCUGUUGAAGGAGAGCAAAGAUCCAUGGAAGGUGCUGGGUGAGGGUGCCCUGCCCGUCUCCUGGUCUCCCGCUGUCGCUCCUCCAUUCCUACUGGCAGCUCCCACAGGAUGCCCCCUGUAGGCGCAGGAACAAACUGCAAUGUAUCAGCAUGGGAAGCACAACUCCCACUGUUGGGACUGGUAGGAAAUGGCCUUGUCUCAAGUAACCAGAAGCCAAGAGAAAGCACAGGCAGGGCUUUGCAGAGCUGGAAGGGCAGGAGGGGGACAGGAAGGAGCCCUGGCCAGGCCAGCAUGGCCACGUAGAAAAUGGAAUCAAUUCCCAGAAUGCCAACCCAGAACCAGAAUCCCCAGGACUUCCCCAGCAGUUUAUGAAGUCAGGGAUUCUCAUCCCCAAAAAGUGGCUGUCUGGGAGCUGAAGUGAGACAGACCUGGGUGAGUUCCUAGUCCACCUUUGUUGUCUGUGAACAUGGAGAAUGAGGGUUCUUGCAAGGAUCAAAGCAAUGAUGCUCUUGAAGAGCUCGGUGUGCAGGUGCUUGGGGAACCCCAGUUGAAAUUUGUUUUCACACUCAGAAGCUGGAAUGGUGUUUGGCAGAGCCACUGAGAAAGUAAGAAGGACAGGAGUGGGGGAACCCCAGGUCCAUCUCCACCUGGUUAUGUGAGCACAAGGUCACCCCACCUCUCACAACCACUGUCUCCUUGGAGUAAAAGGGCUUGGACUUGAUGCACCCUAACAGUGCUCUUCACCUCCAGGGCCUUGCGAUUUGUGACCCUGAACAGAUCAUUUUUCACUGGGCUCUGUUAGAGGAGGGAAAUAUGAGACAAGGACUUAACCGGAUGUCACAAAGCGGGUUCUCGGAGGUUUUCUUCACAGACUUGGAAGAUGUCCCUGUGCCCUCUGUCUUAAUUGCUUUCUCGUUGCUGAGACACAAUAUCUGAUGCCUGAAAAUUAAAUGCAGAAGUUUAUUCUGGCCCUCAGUUGGUAGAGAUUUUAGUCCAUAGUCCACUGGCCCCAAGGCAGAGGGGUGUGGCAGAGGAGGAACAGUCCAUGGCAUCGUAGCAGGAAGCAGAGAGAGAUCAAGGGAGGAGGAGGGAGGCAGACUUCCAAGCCACACCUCCAGUGACCCACACCUCCAACCAGGCUUCAUCUUCCAACAUCACAUUUGUCUAUAAACUCACCAGUGCACCAAUCCACGGAUGAGUGUCAGAACCCCAUUAUCCAGUCACUUCUCAAAAGCCCCACCUAUGAGCACAUGAGGCUUUGAGGGGGCAUCUAGUUAUAAACCAUAACACCCUUAAGUCUCUGCUAAUAUCCUGUCGUUGUCACCCCACAUGUAAGACCUAUGAAAUGCAGGGACAGCCUCACACCAUGGCAAACUAGUCAGUGACUCCUAAGCCUGGCUGUUAUGAUUUGGAUCUUAAAUGUCCCCUGAAGGCUCCAGUGUUGGAAGUUUGGGCCCAGCUUAUGGAGCUACUGGGAGGUGGUAGAACCCAUAGGAGGUGGGACCUAGUGGAAGGAUGCCACUGAAAUGUGAUCAUGAAGGGACAUUGGGGCCCCACCCCUCCCCUCACUGCUUCCCAGCCACCAUGAGGUGAGCAGCUGUACCCCACCACGUGCCACUCACCAUGAUGCUCUGCCUCACUCCAGCCCUAAAACAACAGGGCCAAGUGACCAUGGACUGAAACCUCUGAAACCAUGACCCACACUGAACCUUUCCUCCUUUUAAGGUGAUUGUUUCAGGGAUUUUGUCACAGUGAUGGAAAGCUGACUAACACAGGUUGUGCUCAGGUCCCUGGAUGCUGAAAGUACAGACUCUCAGACCUACCUCUUGCUGUUGAUUUAGAAUCUCUGCAGGUGAGCUCAGGAGGCAGGGUUUUUAUCAGUCAUCCCAGGAAAUACUGACAGCUAUAUGAGGACACGUAUUUGGGACAGACGGGAGAAGGUCAUUGCUUACUGUGUAGGUUGGUGGUGACAGGAAGUAUGCGCUCCUGAAUGUCUUAGUGGCAUGUUGGAAAUCACCUCUGUAGGGGCAUCUGCAACUGGAAGUGUCCUCAGCUCAUACCUGUCUGGGUCAGGCUCGGAGAAUUUACUUCUAGGCACUUCCCUGGUCCCAGCCAGAGGAGCAGCAGUGUGGACAACUGACACCCUGUAGGUCAAGAGGAAGAGAAGAAAGGCAAGGAGGGGCUGCAUCAUCUGCUUGAGCGCCAGAGUUAGGCGCUUAAUCAGCAGGCAUUCAUUGUUUCCAUUUCUGGAAGCUGGAAGUCCAGGGUCCUGGUGUCAGCAGGCUUGGUCUUUCUGAAACCUCCCCUUGGCUUGCGGAUGGGCCCUGCCCUGGGGGAGCCGGUGCUGUGUCCAACCAUGAGCCACGCUCCAGUCCCCUUCUGUGAGCACCAGGAGCCUGGGAAGGAAGGAAGGAAGGAAGGUUCUGGCUGACUGUGGAGAAACCAGAGCCCGGAAGUGAGUGGUGGUGGCCACACACACCAAGGGCCAGCACCAUGUUCCCGGCAGGGGGCCGUUCAGAGCCAGGGGCUGUGGUGGUCAGUGACCCCCUUGGCCCUCUGCUGCUGUACUCUGACUUGGGACAUCCUAAGGGAGCCUCCAUGGACUGUGGGGCCAGCAAGGCAGUGCUUCUGGUGACAUAGGGCCCGCCAGGUACCAGGGAUCACAUCCCCUGGGGGACCCUCACCAUGCCGCCUGCCCCCAGCCCCCAAGCCCCCCAGCCCCGGGGUCGCCACUUUCACACCCUCAGUUAGCAGCCACCUCGGGGAAAGAAAGGCCCAGGGGCUCUGAGAGCAACAUGAAAGUUUGCGCCUCUCCUUCAGUUUUUAAACUCUUCCUCUCUGGCCAGGCCAAGGCCAGAACCGCCUGCUUGUUUAUUUUUAAGUGUUUGUGCUGAUGAAGCAAUGAUGAUAUUUCCUCUUCCUCUCCCCUCUCUUCCUGUCCCUCUGUCUGUCUGUCUCUGUCUUUCUUGUAGCUCUGGGAGUUAAACUCAGGUCCUUUGUGCUGACCUAAAUCUCCAGACUUCCUUUAGAAACCUUUUUUCUUUUUAAGUUUUGAGAAAAAGUCUUAGUAAGUUGUUAAGUUGCUCAGGUUGUUCUUGAAUUUUGGAUCCUUGUGCUUCAGCCUCCCAGAAUGCUGGGAUUGCAUGCAUGUCCCACCGUGCCCAGCUUCUUACUUCUAACCCAGCUCAUAGAGAUGACUUUAGAUCCUCGAUGUCACUGUCACUGAAAAAACAAUGCCCCAGCUCACAGGAAGUGAAUCUCUGGUGUCCAGAGCACCUGCCAAGAGGAGAGGAAAGCUGACAGGGUUGGGGGUCAGGAGCCCCCUGGCAGCUUCAGACCUGUGAUUUCUGGAGAAGGCCGGUCUGGGUCCGCAGGCUCAUCUGUCCCUUCCUUUCCCCAGGUGGCACUUGGCCUGCAGUGCCUCAGCCCAUCAGUCCCCUGACGCCACACAGGUGUCAGACAGGCCAGAGAAGCAAGGCAGUGUCGGGGCCCAGGGCCGCCUGGGGUGAGGGCAGCAUGUCGGGGGGCUGCGCCCCAGCAGGCUCGCACAGGCUGGGAAGGCCGCCAGCAGACGGCUUUGUUUUUCGGCGCCACUUUGCUGUGAGCCUUCUCUUUCCUGAGACGACGCCAGCUGAUGGCGGGGGGAGAGAGACGGAGCUGAAUGGGACAGGCCUUGGCCUCCGCCGCUGGCCUCCUGCAUCCGCCCUUCAGAUCUCGCAGCCAGGGAAGCAGAUGUCCUGCUGGAGACUCGGCGUCUGAGGCCCACCCCAGCCCGCCUGCCUCCUCCCAGAGGAAGCCUAGAGCAGGGCCUGCCAGCUGUUGGGCUCCCUGGGCUCUGGCCCUGGUGGACUCUGUGUGCCAGGCGCCAGGUGCCAGGUAGGGGUGCUGGCCUUGCAGCUUGUGGCGGAGGGGCUGGGUGUGCGGGGACGGGAGGAGAGGGUGCCCGGCUGUCAGGACAAAGGGCAGAAAGAGGCCACUUCAGGUUCAGGUCUGGGGGUCCAGAAGGUCUCCACCCUCCACCAGCAGAGCUACAAACUAGAUGGACUAGCAGGUAGAGCAGGAGGGACACUCGAGCUAAGCCUGUGAUCCCACGUAAUUUGUUUUGCAUUUGGAGAAGGUCUCCAGCUGUGGCUUUUUCCAGGCCCGUGAGACUUUCCCAGGGCGGGGCGCUGGAGAGGGGCAUGUGGGUGCCAGGAGGCCCCAGGCUGGCCCGGGCUCUGGGAAGCAAGUGGCCAUGGCCUCCCCAGGCUGCUGGCCUCAGCUGGGGCGGCCACCGCCCAUCAGACACAGAGACAGGGACAGCAGCUGCUGCUGCAAGGUCGCCAUGGUGACUGUGACCGGCUGCUCCGGCUUUGCCCGCCCGGCUGGCAGCCCCUCCCCAGGGUGGAGGGCUGAGGUCAGACCCGUGGCCGCCUGGGCUCCGGAGCCUCAGAUCUUCUCUGGCAGCCAGGUUCAAAGCUGGGCUCCGGGCAGAGGCAAGAGAGCAGAAAAGGGCCCGGAAGGGAGGAGAAAGCUGGGCUUUACAAACACGAGCCAUUGUUCUCACACAAAAUCGAACUCAUUACUUGGGAGAUGAAAAGAAUUAGGUUUGAGAGAGAACCUCACCUAGUCAAAAUCACCUCAUUACCCCUGAGUGCCGCGGACCAGUGAUUUGCUAGUUUCCCUGAUCUUUCAGGUGUUUGGCUGAAAUCUCUUAUAAGAUCAUUUACAUCAUUUUGGCUAAGGUGAAGAAUGACUAAUAAACUCCUUUCUGAAAACUCUUCUGCUGUUUUUCAGACCAAUCAAGUCUUCUUGCAGCUAGACAACUCUGAUUACUUUAAACAGUGGCUUUUCAUGACUGAAUAUCUUUUUUUUCCUGUAGAAUGACACUGACACAUCUGUUCAGUAAAUUAUCAACAGAUUUAUUUGACUGUUCCGAAGUCCACUCACCAAGAAAGCUGAGGAAAAGGAAGCAAAGAAUUAGAGGGAAAAGUAGGAGUCACCUUACCGUGUCUCAGAAAGACGAUCAGUAUUUUUUUAAAGUGUUACUUGUAAUAUCUUUUGAAGGCUUAUUCCCAGGUCUUUAAACAUCUCUCCUGCUCUUCCCUGAGUCCCUUCUGGUUUUCAGCAUCCUGUAAAGGGUGUGAAUCAAAAUGAUCCUUUCUCCUAAUCAGGACUCCGAUCACUACACUGUGAAUGUGUAUAGAAGAGUCGCCUUCAGGCACACGAGUCUGCUUUGUCAUGGCGGUCAUCAGGCACACCUGCUUUAUUUAAUAACUCGUUACUGCGUUCCCAGCUCAUGGUUCGCUAGAAUCCCUGGAGUUUUGUUUUUAUUUUCCUUUUUCUAUAACUGUGCCUGAUUUCCAAGUCUCUUUGGGUUACUAUGAUCUCUGCCAUUUCACUUAAAACUUUCUCCUGAUGAGGCCAUCCUCUUAAGUGAAAUAAAUAGGACACACGUGUAAAUACCGAAUAGUUUCUCAGGUGUGAGAAAGUGUAAAUAAGGAUUAAAAUGAUUAAAAUGAAUAAAUGAUAAUUUGAAAUAGGAAGAAAAGGUCCAAAGGGGUAGGAAAAGUGGGAGAGGAAGGGGAAAGGAAAGAAGGGAAAGGAAAAAUUAUGAGAAAAGGAAAAAAUGGAAACAAAGUGUUUGUAAAUAGG
ensembl:lncRNA